CACAGAGACACUAACUCUCAGCUUGAGGCAGAACUCAGCACAUUUGUGCAGGGGAAUCCAUGCCUCAUGUUGUCCUCCAGUCUGCCCUGGGUGUUCCUGGCCUUCAUCUUCUCUGGAUCCAGUGUAGCCCAGAGAGUUACUCAAGACCAGCCAGACAUUUCCAGUCAAGUUGGGGAGGUAGUCACCCUGAGCUGUCGAUAUGAGACAAGAGUGAGCAGUUACACCAUUUUUUGGUAUAAACAACUUCCCAGUGGAGAGAUGAUUUACCUUAUUCGUCAGGGUUCUUCUAGCCAGAAUGCAAGGGAUGGCCGCUACUCUAUAAAUUUUCAGAGAUCACAAAGAUCCAUCAGCCUCACCAUUUCAGACUUACAGCUAGAAGACUCUGCAAAGUACUUCUGUGCUCUCUGGGAACUCACAGUGGUUGAAGUAAUAGGAAAAGCUGAACAAAAACCCCAGAGCUUAAUAAGAGAGAGCCCCCCUGCUGCGGGACCCAGGCUGAAAUACACACCUGCAGACCCCAGACAAGAAAUGGUAGUCCUGCGGUUGCUUCAUCUGUGGUCUGGAUCAGAAGAUUUAAUUCUAAAUAAAAGCUCCUUCUAUGUCAUUUGGAAGCAGGUGUCCAGAGUAACUUUCUAA